rnacentral:lncRNA from 1 species
UCCGUCUGUCCCCGAGUCCAUCUGUCCCCAGGCCUGUCUGUCCCUGGGUCCGUCUGUCCCCAGGUCUGUCUGUCCCUGGGUCUGUCUGUCCCUGGGUCCGUCUGUCCCUGGGUCCGUCUGUCCCCGGGUCUGUCUGUCCCUGGGUCUGUCCGUCCCCGGGUCUGUGGGCCCACAUGUGCCUGCGUCUGUUUGGCCCCGUGUUCGUGUGUCUGCCCAUCCCCACAUCCCUGCAUCUGCCUGUCUGUGUGUCCCUCUGUCCGCCUGUCCCUCUGUCCGCCUGUCCCUCUGUCCGCCUCUCCCUGUCCAUCCCUGUGUCCCCGUGGCUGCGUGUCCUCCUGUCCCCAUAUGUCUGUAUGUCCCCAUGUCCACCUGUCCCUAAGCCUGUGUGUCCGCCUGUCCCCAUGUGUCUGUCUGUCCCCGAGUCCAUCUGUCCCCAGGUCUGUCUGUCCCUGGGUCUGUCCGUCCCCGGGUCUGUGGGCCCGCGUGUGCCUGCGUCUGUUUGGCCCCGUGUUCGUGUGUCUGCCCAUCCCCACAUCCCUGCAUCCGCCUGUCUGUGUGUCCAUCUGUCCGCCUGUCCCUCUGUCCGCCUGUCCCUGUCCAUCCCCGUGUCCCCGUGCCUGUGUGUCCUCCUGUCCCCAUAUGUCUGUACGUCCCCAUAUCCCCCUGUCCCUAAGCCUGUGUGUCCGCCUGUCCCCAUGUGUCUGUCCCCGAGUCCGCCUGUCCCUGGGUCUGUCUGUCCCCGGGUCCGUGGGCCCACAUGUGCCUGUGUCUGUUUGGCCCCAUGUUCGUGUGCCCGCCCGUCCCCACAUCCCUGCAUCCGUCUGUCCCCAUGUCUGUGUGUCCCUUUGUCCGCCUGUUCCUGUGUGUCCGCCUGUCCCUGUGUCCGCCUGUCCCCAUGUGUCUCUGUCCCCCAUGUCCGUGUGUCUCAUGUACCCAUGUGCCCCCCCGUGUCCGUGUGUCCGUGCGUCCUUAUGUACCCAUGUGCCCCCCCGUGUCCGUGCGUCUCGCCAUGUCCGUGCAUCCCUCCGUGUCCGUGCGUCCCCGUGUCCAUGCAUCCCUCCCUGUCCGUGCGUCCCCGUGUCCAUGUGUCCUCAUUUACCCAUGUGCCCCCCUGUGUCCAUGCAUCCCCCCGUGUCCGCGCGUCCUCAUGUACCCACGUGCCCCCCCAUGUCCGUGUGUCCCCAUGUCCAUGCAUCCCCCCAUGUCCGUGCAUCCCCCCGUGUCCGUGCGUCCCCCCGUGUCCGUGCGUCCCCCCGUGUCCGUGCGUCCCCCCUAUCCGUGCAUCCCCUAUC